GGCCGCAUGGUCCAGAGGUACGAUACUUGCUUUGGGACCUCUGGGUGAAAGUGCAAGUGACCUGGGUUCGAUUCCCAGUGCGGCCC